UGCAGCCCAGCAGCUCCUGCUCAAAGCAGGGGCUUGCACAGGAGUCUGCCCCAGCAAACCAGCACAUGGAAACAUGCUGACAUGA